rnacentral:miRNA from 1 species
UGAGAUCACUGUGAAAACUAAUU